rnacentral:rRNA from 1 species
UACGGGGGGAGCAAACGUUGUUCGGAAUCACUGGGCGUAAAGGGCGCGUAGGCGGGAUGGCAAGUCGGUCGUGAAAUCCUUCGGCUCAACCGAAGAACGUCGGCCGAUACUGCCGUUCUUGAGGGAUGCAGAGGAGAUUGGAAUUCCCGGUGUAGCGGUGAAAUGUGUAGAUAUCUGGAGGAACGCCGGUGGCGAAAGCGACGUGCUGGACCUCUUCUGACGCUGAGGCGCGAAAGCUAGGGGAGCAAACGGG